rnacentral:rRNA from 1 species
GACGAACGCUGGCGGCGUGCCUAAUACAUGCAAGUCGAGCGAAGUUUUUCUGGUGCUUGCACUAGAAAAACUUAGCGGCGAACGGGCGAGUAACACGUAAAGAACCUGCCUCAUAGACUGGGACAACUAUUGGACACGAUAGCUAAUACCGGAUAACAGUAUUUCUCGCAUGAGAGAUAUUUAAAAGUUGGUUAUGCUAACACUAUGAGAUGGCUUUGCGGUGCAUUAGCUAGUUGGUGGGGUAAAGGCCCACCAAGGCGACGAUGCAUAGCCGACCUGAGAGGGUGAUCGGCCACCCUGGGACUGAGAACCGGCCCAGACUCCUACGGGAGGCAGCAGUAGGGAAUCUUCCGCAAUGGGCGAAAGCCUGACGGAGCCACCCCGCGUGAGUUAAGAAGGAUUUCGGUUCGUAAAGCUCUGUUGUUAGGGAAGAAUGGAUAUGUAGUAACUAUACAUGUAAGAGACGGUACCUAACCAGAAAGCCACGGCUAACUACGUG